rnacentral:lncRNA from 1 species
UUUUUUUUUUUUUCUUUUGAGAUGUAUGGCUCAGGGGAGGAAUUCAGGUAUCAAAAUGUAUGGGGGAAAAUGGAAUCUCCUGUGAUUCUAGGCCUAGUUAUCUUAAAAUAUGUAUAAAGGGAAAAUACGUCAAGUGCAGAGGUUUUUAUUGGUUUUGCUCAUUAAUGUAUCCCAAUGCUUAGGACAGUUUCGCACUCUUUCUAGGUGUUCCAGAAAUAUUUGCUGAAAGAAUGAAGUAAGGAACAAAUGGGUGAAUGAGGAAGACCCCUCAAGAACAAUUUCUCCCACUACAUGGGAUGGUCAUAGUUGCAAGCUCUUCCAUGAAUGAGAGUAAAGCAAAUGUGUCACAAAGCAACUGGUGAAUUUAAAUGAUGGGUAUGCUGAUGUUCACUUUACUUUUUUUCCAACUAUUCUGAAAAUUUUAAAUGUUACAAAAAUAAAGAGGGAAAAACAUGAGAGAAUAAUUGAUAUAUGCUCCCAUCCCUGUCUCUGUUGACCUGAUUCCAUCUGCUUUCACAGAUAACUAUUUUUAUUAUUUUCUUCUGUAUCACUAGAAAAAAAAACUUUAAUAUAGAUACAAACACAAAUGUGUAUAUAUAUAUAUAUAUAUAUAUUUUUCCCCUUUCUUAUAUAAAGAAACAACAUACCCAGUAGUUUUGCUGUGUGCUUUCCUCAUUCCUUCUCUUUCUUCUUCAAUCCCCUCCUCAUUCUCACUCUUUUUUUCUCCUUCAUUCUUGGUUUAAUAAUAAAUCCUGAUACAUUUUUCAUAUAAGUUCAAAGAGAGGUUUCUUAUUCUGUAGUUAGCAAAAAAUUUCAUACAGUGAUUAUGUCACCAUUCAUAGGUUAGAAAAAUCCUAUAAUUAGUAACUUCAUUAUGUAUUAAAUUCAUAUACAUAUGUACAAUAUGAUAUUAUUUAAUAAUUGAGAUUUUAUAUGAUAUAUUUUAAUAUCUCAUAAGAUUAAUUCUCCUUUAUAGUUUUUUUUUCUUUUUUUUCCCUCAAUAUUCUUGAUUGGUUAUUUUUUUCAUAACAAAUUUAGAAUUAGGGCAGCUUGAGUGGCGAAGCGGUUUAGCACCACCUUCAGCCAGGAUGUGAUCCUGGAGACCGAGGAUAGAGUCCCAUGUCAGGCUCCCUGCAUGGAGCCUGCUUCUCCCUCUGCCUGUGUCUGUGCCUCUCUCUCUCUCUCUCUUUCUCUCUCAUGAAGAAAUAAAUAAAAUCUUAAAAAAAAAACUUUAGAAUCAGUCUAGUCAUGGGAAAGCAAACAAUAUGUAGAUAGAUAGUCUGUUGAUAGAUUAAGUUAUUCAGGAAGCAUUUUAUAUUAAAUUUAUAAAUAAGCAUUGGGAGAAUUGUUCUAUUCCUGUUAUUAUAUUUAAAAACAUGGUAUAUAUCUCCAUUUAUUUUAUGUAUUUUUUCAAAUUCUUGAUCAAGCAUCAGUUACUCCUCUGAGAAUAUACAACUGAAUCUCAACAUAGUUACUUCUCCAUUUCCUCAUUUCAUCUAUAUGUUACCAUUUGUUCUAUCAAUGUGAGUAUCAUGUUAUGAUGAAAUUAUUCCUUUUUAUGACUAUCUCCCUUUCUGACCAUAAUUUCCAUCAGAGAAGGAGUCAUGGAUUUCAUAUAAGGAACUCAAUAUAUAUUUGUUGGAAUGAAGCAAACUAUGUAGUACACUUUCUCAUUAUUCCCAUGUAAUAGUUUUUUAAGUAAGAUUUAAAGACUUGUGACUUGGAUAAUCUUAAAAUUACCAAGCUAUUAAGUGAAGUCUAUCUCUCUAGAUGAAGACCCUCUGCUUUAAAAUCCUAUAUUUUUCCAUAUCCUAUGCUAUUUAACAGGAAACUUAUGUGCCAAAGUGUUAUGGUUUUUAAUUUUAUGUCUUUCCACCUCCAGAGAAAUUAGCAUUGUCACACGUAAUUUUUGUGAUAAUGUGAAAUCUAAAGACACCUCUAAGUGAUGAAAUUUCAUGCUAUGGCGUGAGGAAAAGAGAUAUAUGCAUGUCCAUUUGAUCUUCUUACUGAGACUAAGUUACAUCAUCAUCAUCAUCAUCAUAGAAACAAAGCAUAUGCAUCAGACUUUGAAUCAAUAUUUUAACUUGAUUUCAUUAAAAUUUGUCAACACUGGUAUUCUUAUAUUGCUUUUACAGAUGAGGAAUCUGAGGCUGAGAGAAUUUAAGCAACUAUGCCAAGGCCCUAGGAUUGGUUAGGGGAAGAAGCAGAAGCAAAUCCAGAUCUCCUUAAUUCCAAACUCAAGUUCUUCCUGCUGAGCUGCUUACCAUAAAGGCA